rnacentral:rRNA from 1 species
GACGAACGCUGGCGGCGUGCUUAACACAUGCAAGUCGAACGGAAAGGCCCUGCUUUUGUGGGGUGCUCGAGUGGCGAACGGGUGAGUAGCACGUGAGUAACCUGCCCUUGACUUUGGGAUAACUUCAGGAAACUGGGGCUAAUACCGGAUAGGAGCUCCUGCUGCAUGGUGGGGGUUGGAAAGUUUCGGCGGUUGGGGAUGGACUCGCGGCUUAUCAGCUUGUUGGUGGGGUAGUGGCUUACCAAGGCUUUGACGGGUAGCCGGCCUGAGAGGGUGACCGGCCACAUUGGGACUGAGAUACGGCCCAGACUCCUACGGGAGGCAGCAGUGGGGAAUAUUGCACAAUGGGCGGAAGCCUGAUGCAGCAACGCCGCGUGCGGGGUGACGGCCUUCGGGUUGUAAACCGCUUUCGCCUGUGACGAAGCGUGAGUGACGGUAAUGGGUAAAGAAGCACCGGCUAACUACGUG